CCUGGAUUCCAGUGCUAAACACUAUCCAUCUUUGCUUGCCAUACAGUUUACGUUGAUUUAAACAUUGAAAAUC
rnacentral:tRNA from 1 species